UUGCACACCACUACACCCCGCCGCACAAGUAUUGCCAAUGCAAAUGGAGUUACCUAUCCUGUGACAGGGGCCGGCACUGUUGCCCUUUCACCUUCUCUGUCCCUUUCUAAUACUCUACUCAUUCCAUCUUUGUCCAAUAAAUUAAUGUCUGUGAGUCAGGCAACUGAACAACUAAAUUGUUAUGCACUAAUUUAUCCCAAUUUUUG
rnacentral:lncRNA from 1 species